AAAGGAAUUGACGGGGACCCGCACAAGCGGUGGAUGAUGUGGUUUAAUUCGAUGCAACGCGAAAAACCUUACCCACCUUUGACAUGUACGGAAGUUACCAGAGAUGGUUUCGUGCUCGAAAGAGAACCGUAACACAGGUGCUGCAUGGCUGUCGUCAGCUCGUGUCGUGAGAUGUUGGGUUAAGUCCCGCAACGAGCGCAACCCUUGUCAUUAGUUGCUACGAAAGGGCACUCUAAUGAGACUGCCGGUGACAAACCGGAGGAAGGUGGGGAUGACGUCAAGUCCUCAUGGCCCUUAUAGGUGGGGCUACACACGUCAUACAAUGGCUGGUACAGAGGGUUGCCAACCCGCGAGGGGGAGCUAAUCCCAUAAAACCAGUCGUAGUCCGGAUCGCAGUCUGCAACUCGACUGCGUGAAGUCGGAAUCGCUAGUAAUCGCGGAUCAGAAUGUCGCGGUGAAUACGUUCCCGGGUCUUGUACACACCGCCCGUCACA
rnacentral:rRNA from 1 species